UGAGGAAUAUUGGGCAAUGCCCGAAAGGGUGACCCAGCAACGCCGCGUGGAGGAUGAAGGUCGUAAGAUUGUAAACUCCUGUUAGAGGGGAAGAAUAACUAAGUUUGGAGCUUAGUAUGACUGUACCCUCAGAGAAAGCCCCGGCUAACUACGUGCCAGCAGCCGCGGUAAUACGUAGGGGGCAAGCGUUGUCCGGAUUUACUGGGUGUAAAGGGCGCGCAGGCGGAAUGGAAAGUCAGUGGUGAAAUCCUACAGCUUAACUGUAGAACUGCCUUUGAUACUUUCAUUCUUGAGUUCGGGAGAGAGAGACGGAAUUCCAGGUGUAGUGGUGAAAUACGUAGAUAUCUGGAAGAACACCAGUUGCGAAGGCGGUCUCUUGGUCCGAUACUGACGCUGAGGCGCGAAAGCGUGGGGAGCAAAC
rnacentral:rRNA from 1 species